CCUUUAAAGAAAGCGUAAUAGCUCACUAGUCGAGUCGGCCUGCGCGGAAGAUGUAACGGGGCUAAAACUAUGUGCCGAAGCUGCGGAUGUAUACUUUGUAUACGUGGUAGGGGAGCGUUCUGUAAGCCGAUGAAGGUGUGUUGAGAAGCAUGCUGGAGGUAUCAGAAGUGCGAAUGCUGACGUGAGUAACGACAAAACGGGUGAAAAACCCGUUCGCCGAAAGACCAAGGGUUCCAGUCCAACGUUAAUCGGGGCUGGGUGAGUCGACCCCUAAGGCGAGGCCGAAAGGCGUAGUCGAUGGGAAAAUGGUUAAUAUUCCAUUACUUCUGUGUAAUGCGAUGAGAGGACGGAGAAGGCUAAAUCAGCCUGGCGUUGGUUGUCCAGGUGAAAGGAUGUAGGCAUGUAUCUUAGGCAAAUCCGGGGUACUCUAUGCUGAGAUCUGAUAGCAAGCUGUACUUGUACAGCGAAGUGGUUGAUGCCAUGCUUCCAGGAAAAGUCUCUAAGCUUCAGUUACACAGGAAUCGUACCCGAAACCGACACAGGUGGUCAGGUCGAGUAGACCAAGGCGCUUGAGAGAACUCUGCUGAAGGAACUAGGCAAAAUGGUACCGUAACUUCGGGAGAAGGUACGCUGUUGUUGGUGAUGGAACUCGCUUCCUGAGCUGACGACAGCCGCAGAAACCAGGCCGCUGCAACUGUUUAUUAAAAACAUAGCACUCUGCAAACACGAAAGUGGACGUAUAGGGUGUGAUGCCUGCCCGGUGCUGGAAGGUUAAUUGAUGGGGUUAGCGUAAGCGAAGCUCUUGAUCGAAGCCCCAGUAAACGGCGGCCGUAACUAUAACGGUCCUAAGGUAGCGAAAUUCCUUGUCGGGUAAGUUCCGACCUGCACGAAUGGCAUAAUGAUGGCGGCGCUGUCUCCAGCAGAGGCUCAGUGAAAUCGAAAUCGCUGUGAAGAUGCAGUGUACCCGCGGCUAGACGGAAAGACCCCGUGAACCUUUACUGCAGCUUGACACUGAACUUUGACCUUACUUGUGUAGGAUAGGUGGGAGGCUUUGAAGCUGGAACGCUAGUUCCAGUGGAGCCGUCCUUGAAAUACCACCCUGGUAAUGUUGAGGUUCUAACUCUGUCCCGUGAUCCGGGACGAGGACCGUGUCUGGUGGGUAGUUUGACUGGGGCGGUCUCCUCCUAAAGAGUAACGGAGGAGUACGAAGGUGCGCUCAGCGUGGUCGGAAAUCACGCGUAGAGUAUAAAGGCAAAAGCGCGCUUAACUGCGAGACCCACAAGUCGAGCAGGUACGAAAGUAGGUCUUAGUGAUCCGGUGGUUCUGUAUGGAAGGGCCAUCGCUCAACGGAUAAAAGGUACUCUGGGGAUAACAGGCUGAUACCGCCCAAGAGUUCAUAUCGACGGCGGUGUUUGGCACCUCGAUGUCGGCUCAUCUCAUCCUGGGGCUGAAGCAGGUCCCAAGGGUAUGGCUGUUCGCCAUUUAAAGAGGUACGCGAGCUGGGUUUAGAACGUCGUGAGACAGUUCGGUCCCUAUCUACCGUGGGCGCUGGAAAUUUGAGAGGAUCUGCUCCUAGUACGAGAGGACCAGAGUGGACGAACCUCUGGUGUACCGGUUGUGACGCCAGUCGCAUCGCCGGGUAGCUAUGUUCGGAAGGGAUAACCGCUGAAAGCAUCUAAGCGGGAAGCCUACCUCAAGAUAAGAUUUCCCUAGGACUUUAUGUCCUCUAAAGAGCCGUUCGAGACUAGGACGUUGAUAGGUUGGAUGUGGAAGCAUAGUGAUAUGUGAAGCUGACCAAUACUAAUUGCUCGUGAGGCUUGACUAUACAACACCCAAGCAGUUG
rnacentral:rRNA from 1 species